rnacentral:rRNA from 1 species
GAUUCCUACGGGAGGCAGCAGUGGGGAAUAUUGCACAAUGGGCGAAAGCCUGAUGCAGCGACGCCGCGUGAGGGAUGACGGCCUUCGGGCUGUAAACCUCUUUCAGCAGGGACGAAGCGCAAGUGACGGUACCUGCAGAAGAAGCACCGGCUAACUACGUGCCAGCAGCCGCGGUAAUAAUCU